AUGCAGGGUGAACUGAUGGCACUGGAGCCGGGGUUAUCGUGUACUUGCCAGGUCUGCAGCAGUAGCAUUGUUCACCUGUGCCCGGUGGUGCUAUUUUUCAGAAGAACGGUGCACGGACCCGAGCCACAGCCGGGCAGGGCUAACAUCCAUCGGACUGCAAAUCAAACGCACUCCGCUCUCCAAUCAAACUUCUCCUCGGAAAUGCCAGGGCAGCUGGGAGAUCCUGCAGAGAUAAGUGGCGCCAAAGGCACCGCUGAUGUCACUGCCACUGGACUGAGAAGGCUCCCUCCCUCUCUCCCUCCCUCUCUGACUGCACUGAUAGAAAAAUGCCAAGUGAGGAGUUCAGUUCCAAAACAAGACAGUUAAUGUCUCUAAGAAGUCCAGUCGUCGUUCUGACUGGCUGCUGCUCUCUGCGUGGUGAUGACUGAUCCUGGAAGAAGUACCAGCAACUUUUAUUUUUCUUUGUUGUACUUUUUUCUGUAUAUUUCUAUUUUUAAAGUCUUAACAAGCUUUGAUCUUUUAAUAGUGAAUACUUGGUCUUUCCCUCUAUGAGUUUAAUGUGAGUGAAGCUUUGGAAGAAGCCCAGAAGUCAGAGAAAGGUUUAGAUUUCUGUUUUUGAUGUUCGGUCUUGUUUACUUUUCUUCUCCAUUAUUAAUUUGUCUUUCAUCUCUCUGCUGAAAUGAAGGGAAAAAAACCCAUGCUGCACAGGCAUGUAGAAUAUUAUAGUCUUAAAAUAGAGGUUGAAGUGCAAGGUUUGAAUCAAACACAAGUUUUAUGAUGACGUCCGUCAAGAAAAAAUUUAAUGCCAUUUAAAAAUGCUGACCGUUCGAGUUAAUGACCAAGAUAUAUUUUUAGGUAACGACUCGCCAAAUGUACUGCAGGUUUUUUGACAUCAUCUUUUAAAUAUUUCAUCAAAAAUUUGAGAGUCAAACAUUUAUCCGCUUCCAGGAAGAUUAAAAAGUGAACAGAAGAAUAAAAAGCCUGAAGCUUAUUAUAAGCUUUUACUUGCGUCAUCACCAGGUGUGAGCAUAGAGUCCUUUCAAAAAAAUCUCAGCAACUAUUUAUUCAUUUAACACUUGUUCAUUAACACAGAAAAUGUCUCACCUACUGAAAACUUUAAUAAAGUAUAAAUUAGGUGCUCGGUAAUCUCUGUAGUCCUGUUGAACAGAGUCAACAGGAAAUUACAGUAGCUUUACGAACUAGAAUAAACAUUUUCUUAGAAGUGCAAAUAGACGCUCUGGUUCAUUUCAUUUAGAAUUUCCACUGUGAAAAUUAUAAAUACAAGGCAUUCAAACCCAGCAUUUGCCUUGAAAAGUACAGAGACAGCACUGCAGACGACACAGCAUAGGCUGGAGAAACCAGAGCUCACAGAGAAAUACAUGCAGAAAGUCCUACCCUGGUUAGAAUCUAGGACUCUAUUGCGGUGGGGCAGGAAUAUUAACCACUGAGCAUUUGUCUUUUCAGAGACUGUCCUGUCUGUUAGAGCACAAUUGUUGUAGUUUUGGGUGUGCAUUAUUGUCCUAUUUUUCAACACUGUAAACUUUUGGCUUAUUUAGGCUCAACUGACACAAAACAAAAACCAUCUUUCAUUGAGUGUUUAAGUUUAAGGACAAAGCAAAGUUAAAAAUCAGCCCAAAGAGACUUUACAGCAAUCGCCACUGUGUAGAGUUGAAGUUACAGGCUCUGGCUGCUGGACUGGAGUCAGCAUGCCCUCAGCUUUAACAUCACUCUGGCUUCUUGGUUAGUGGUUUGCCCUUUACCAUCGUGCUCUUGUUCUUUUUUGCAAUAAAAAUAUAAGUAAUGUCCAUAUCUCCAUGCCUCAAAAGUUAUUUUCCUCCUCUCUGCACAUGAACAGAAAUUAGGUGACUAUAGUCCAAGUGUAGGUGGAUUUCUUAUGUAAUUCUUUUUAAACUUCUUGAUGUCCAAUGAGUAUAGUGUUUUUGUCUUUGCGUGAUGGUUUAACUUGUGGAUGUAGUGACAAACUACUGGUUGUGGUUUUCCUGAACCCAUGCAGUGAUCAUGUCUGUUUUAAUGCUGUGCAGUUUAGCAUCUGUUUCUUCUUCACUUGUGCGAUGAGAUUUCUCUGAAACCUUUAAUAUUAUAAAAUCAACAAAUUGCUGGAAAUUUGCAUUGUUAGCUUGUUGAACCCACGCAGUCUCUCACGGAGUGGUGAAACUCUCUCUGGCCUCUCUUGCCCUUUUUCAUGCCAUGUACUAAUUAACCUCAAUAGUUGUGAGACGAUCCACCCGCUGUUUUUUUCUCUCUUUUGUUUGUUUAUUUUUUUUAAAACAUUAAACAACUUUUACAAUGUUUUGUUGCCCUUGUCCAAACUUUCUGAAACAUGUUGCUAGCACUGAAUUAAAAAUGAGGACAUGUAUUCUGAUAUAAUGCCUAAUUUUCUUAAUUUUAACACUAGAUAUGGUCUUUGUGCUAUUUUCAAAUACCUAAUAAUUCAGUUUUAAGUGACUUGUGAACAGAGUUGUGGUCAAAGGUUCACAUCCACUCAUCACGGGUAUGAAUAUCAUGGUAAUGUUGUGCUUUUAAUGAUUUCUUUAAACUGUUCUUUUUCC
rnacentral:lncRNA from 1 species